rnacentral:rRNA from 1 species
UUCCAGACUCCUACGGGAGGCAGCAGUGAGGAAUAUUGGUCAAUGGCCGGAAGGCUGAACCAGCCAAGCCGCGUGAGGGAGGAAGGCGCAGAGCGUCGCAGACCUCUUUUGCCGGGGGACAAAAGGCCGGACUCGUCCGGUCCUGAGGGUACCCGGAGAAAAAGCAUCGGCUAACUCCGUGCCAGCAGCCGCGGUAAUACGGAGGAUGCGAGCGUUAUCCGGAUUUAUUGGGUUUAAAGGGUGCGCGGGCGGUCUGUUAAGUCAGGGGUAAAAUGUCGGGGCUCAACCCCGGCCUGCCGUUGAAACUGGCGGCCUCGAGUGGGCGAGAAGUAUGCGGAAUGCGUGGUGUAGCGGUGAAAUGCAUAGAUAUCACGCAGAACUCCGAUUGCGAAGGCAGCAUACCGGCGCCCGACUGACGCUGAGGCACGAAAGCGUGGGUAUCGAACAGGAUUAGAUACCCCAGUA